rnacentral:rRNA from 1 species
GACGAACGCUGGCGGCGUGCCUAAUACAUGCAAGUAGAACGCACAGUUUAUACCGUAGCUUGCUACACCAUAGACUGUGAGUUGCGAACGGGUGAGUAACGCGUAGGUAACCUGCCUGGUAGCGGGGGAUAACUAUUGGAAACGAUAGCUAAUACCGCAUAAUAUUAAUUAUUGCAUGAUAAUUAAUUGAAAGGUGCAAUUGCACCACUACCAGAUGGACCUGCGUUGUAUUAGCUAGUAGGUGAGGUAACGGCUCACCUAGGCGACGAUACAUAGCCGACCUGAGAGGGUGAUCGGCCACACUGGGGCUGAGACACGGCCCAGACUCCUACGGGAGGCAGCAGUAGGGAAUCUUCGGCAAUGGACGAAAGUCUGACCGAGCAACGCCGCGUGAGUGAAGAAGGGUUUCGGAUCGUAAAGCUCUGUUGUAAGAGAAGAACGGGUGUGAGAGUGGAAAGUUCACACUGUGACGGUAUCUUACCAGAAAGGGACGGCUAACUACGUG